rnacentral:lncRNA from 1 species
AGUACCAGGACCAACAUCCUCCAUAACUUCUGGGCGCAGAGAACUAUUACCGGCGUCUGAUGUUUCCAUAGUAACGGGACUGGAAACCUUAAUAACUUGUGGCGGCAAAGAAUUGUUACCAGCAUCUGAAACUUCCAUAGCACUAGGACUCUCAAUCUUCAAAACUUGUGGCUGCAGAGAAUUAUUGCCAGCAUCUGAAAUUUCCAUAGGAGGGCUGUCAGUCUUCAAAUCUUCUGGUUGUGGAGAAUCAUUACUCUGUAGGGCACCUGAAUUCUCAAUAGUACCAGCAUCAGCAAUAUCAUCAACAUCUGUCUGCUCAGCUUUAAUCUCGGUCCCUACAAGUAAAUUCGUUUGAGAAGUGCCAGGCACCGCAGGUACAUUAUCUAGUAUGUCCUGAAUUUUGCGCUGCUUUUGCACUGGUUCAACUGGAGGAUAAACCCUCAAAGUGUUGUCUGUACAAGGUACAGCACCAGCUUUAGACUGGUUUGCAGAUGCGGGCUCAUUUGAAGCAUAAAGUUGCUGCAACCUGUAAUCAGUCUCAGGUCGACGACAAACCUUACUCAGCGGCACAAUUUCCUGAAAUCAAUUACAAAGCAAGUUAUCAUUAACCCUAAUUACAAUGUACAUGUUAAAACAAAAUCAGAUUAAAACUUGAAUCAUCAUAUCCCGCUAUACUCUUUUUCAUAAUUAAAUAUCAUUAAUUAUGAAAUUGGUGUAAAAUUUGCAACCUACUCUAUUCCAUGAAUAAUCUAAAACAAAAUCAGAUUAAAACUUGAAUCAUCAUAUCGCGCUAUACUCUUUGUCAUAAUUAAAAAUCAUUAAUUAUGGAAUUGGUGUAAAAUUUGCAACCUAUUUUAUUCCAUGAAUAAUCUAAAACAAAAUCAGAUUAAAACUUGAAUCAUCAUAUCUCACAUAGGGAACUAAAACCUAUAUUUUCAAACAUGAUUUAACAAUUAUAGAUGCUCUGAGUGUAUAUAUAGAGGCGGGACUAUUGUGCAUAGCAAAUCGGAAUCGAAAUCCAGAAACUAAAUCGAUCAUGCCCUCUUCAGAGGAAGCCUUGGCCUCAGAAUUAAGGGCACAAGAAAGAAAUAGGUGCUUCUCUAGUUGCUGCUGCUCGCUUUUUCUUUAUACCCUGUAUUGAUAUGGCUAACUUUAUAUAUGGUAAAUCAAAGCUCCGUCUCAUUAUCUCUCGAAGAUCUUACGAUAGCUGAUGUUCAAACCUCCAACGUCUCCGCUCCUAACCAGACAUUUAUUUACUUCAAACUCCACCUCGAAAAUAAAAAAGAUGUUAUGUCAGUUUAUUAUGGAAACCUCAGCCUCAGUUUCUCUUAAUAUCGCAGUUCAGAUGAUAUUGUUCAACUAGCCAACUACACCAUUCAGAAAUUCCAACAGGGUAUUGGUAAAAAGACCAAUCAACAAACUUCUAUGAUGCUAAAUCAAGGGAUCUUGUGGCGAGAAAUUUCCAAGAACGCGACGUCUGUUAUUUUUUUUCGGGUUGAUUUAGCAGGUGUAGUGAGAUUUAGCGAGUUAAACUUCAAAAGCAAGAAGCGCGAGAUAAUGGCAUGGGCUAAGGUGGAGCUUGAUCCAGUCAGUGGUAAGAGAAUGAGUAAGAAAGCUGUUCAGCUCGAGCAUACGAUUAAGCAUCAUGUUAGUGGCUGGGUUACUUUCUUUUUCGUAUACUUGAUGAUUGCUACUAUUCUCUCGUGUCUUUGGUGUUGCCUUUGCCUAGUGGGCGUGACACUAGGCUGCUGCUGGUCCUAAACAAGGAAUCAUUAGCAUAGUAUUUUUUAUUUCAAUAAAAUUCCUCUCUGAGUAAGGAAUUCUAUCUCUCUGGAUUGUAUUUUUUAUUUUAAUAAAAUCUUUUUUGGGUGUUGGUCCAAUUUAUUUGGAUUUUAUUUAUCAUCUCCUUGUGAGAGCGUGGUGUAUUUUGUUUUCUAUUUUUAAUGUAAUUCAAUGUCCAGGAUGUUAGAUCUUUCAAUUUGAGAGUUUGAUUCGUGAUAAAGAUACGUAUGAAAUUGCAAUCACGGUCGAUAACUCAAAUUACGUAUGAACGGCAAUUUCCAUGGUAAUCCUUUUCGGAACUUUUCGACUCAGCUUAGAAUUAUAAAGAUGCAUGUCAUGUCCCGGCAAAAGAUUUUUUCCCACAAACUUUCUGCGCGUUUUUAUAGCAGAAAUAUAGAAAUCCUAGAACAGGUGUUUAAAACACAAAUGACGUUAUGCCUCCGGCAUUUACAUAUGUCUUGGCGGUUCCGGAUAAAUUACUGCAGAAAUUGAUCGUUAGAGACACAAAUCCGAUAUAAUAUUAUCAUAUGCAGACUUGCCCACUGCUAACAUGUUGCCUUAAAAUAAACUUGAGGGCUAUGUUAAUUUGCAACAGUAAAAUUACAAACUGUAAAAUCAUGCAUGCUGCUAAGCCAUUUUCAACAUACCCUACAGUUACUAGCACUUUGGUUGAUUGCAGCAGCAUUCCGUGAUUAUGAUUUGGUUAGAAAUAUUUGUAUACUCAACAGUGGAUUGUUGGGUUUGUGGAGUCAGAUUCGGAAUAUGAUUUGGUUAGAAAUAUUUGUAUACCCAACGUGGAGUCAGAUUCGGAUUAGGAUUUGGUUAGAAAUAUUUAUAUACUCAACAUGGAUCUGUGCUUGAAUCUUGAUACACAAAAUUGCAUAGCAAAACGAAACCAAGAAAAACAGAAACUAAAUCGAUCAUGGCGGAACUCGACGACAGAGAUUUGGAUUUCAUUUGUGCAGCUGCAGAAGCAACAAAGACUGUCUCUAGUUGCAUAGCGUUUUGUACUUUAACCCCUCUAUGGAUAUGGCUAACUUUAUAUAUGGUAAAUCAAAGCUCCGUCUCAUUAUCUCUUGAAGAUUUUACUAUAGCUGAUGUUCAAACCUCCAACGUCUCCGCUCCUAACCAGACAUUUAUUUACUUCAAACUCCACCUCGAAAAUAAAAAAGAUGUUAUGUCACUUGAUUAUGGAAACCUCAGCCUCAGUUUUUCUUAUUAUCGCGGUUCAGAUGAUAUUGUUCAACUAGCCAACUACACCAUUCAGAAAUUCCAUCAGGGUAUUAGUAAAAAGACCAAUCAACAAACUUCUGUGAUGCUAAAUCCAGGGAUCUCGUGGCGAGAAAUUUCCAAGAACGCGACGUCUGUGAUUUCUCGGGUUGAUUUAGCAGGUGUAGUAAGAUUCAGCCAGUUGCACUACUUCAAGAGCAAGAAGCGCAAGAUAAUGGCAUGGGCUAAGGUGGAGCUUGAUCCAGUCAGUGGUAACAGAAUGAGUAAGAAAGCUGUUCGGCUGAAGCAUACGAUUAAGCAUCAUGUUAGUGGCUGGGUUACUUUCUUUUUCGUAGUCAUGAUAAUUGCUACUAUUUGUUCACCUCNUAUAGAGUAAGAAUUUUUGUCUAUCUAGAAGAUUGUAUUGUCCAUUUGAUAAAAUCUGUUUGUGUGUUUUAUUCCCAGUUUAUUUAAGUUUUGUUUAUCUUCACCAUGUGAGAGCUUGGUAUGUUUUUUACGUGUUUUGUUGUGAUUCAAUGUCCAGUUACAUCUUCCAAAUUUUGAAGGGUUUGAUUCCGUGAUAAAAUUUUGUUUGAAAUUAUAAUUAUGACUGACAGCUCAAACUAAUUAUGGUGAAGUGGAUACAUGUAUCAUUUAUUUCAGGAAGGGCUUUCAUAAUGUACUCUAGCCCUUCAUAAUGUACUCUUCUUUCUUUUUCUUCGACCAUCACCGAUCAGUCGUCCACCGUCAAUUUGAGGAGUUUGUGUUUAUUUGAUUUGCCCUCUUGAGUUCACUAAUCACUGGGUUUGCAUAAUUAAAAAAUGUAAAAAAAAAAUGGAGUGCCACGGAUGAAUUGCUGCAGAAAUCGAUUGUUAGAAAUAUAAUAUUAUCAUAUGCAAACUUGCCCACUGCUAACAUGUUGCCUUAAAGGAAACUUGAGGGCUAUGUUGAUUUGCAACAGUAAAAUUACAAACUUGAAAUAUACAGUCAUGCGGGCUGCCAUAGCCAUUUUCAACAUACCCUAAAGUUACUAGCACUUUGGUUGAUUGCAGCAGCAUCGCGAUUUCCUUGGAUAAAUACUAUUUGGACUAAUUAAGCUGCAGCACCCAGCGGAAUAUUUUCACUUCCUGAACUACCAGAAGUCUCUUCAAUUUCUGACUGAGGUGCGACAGGUAAAUUUUCUUGACUAUCAUUAACAUGCGGGACAGGUGAAUUACCUAGAUCAGCAUCACUGACUAUCUCAGCGACUUCUUGCUGCAUAACAAUUGUGGGUGAAGCAUUUAAACUAUCCAAAUCACCGACGUUUGUGAUCUCAGUAACUUUUGGCUGCUGAACACCACCAGCAUCUGAAAUUUCUGUAGUACUAGGACCAACAUUCUCCAUAACUUCUGGGUGCAGAGAACUAUUACCGGCGUCUGAUGUUUCCAUAGUAACGGGACUGGAAACCUUAAUAACUUGUGGCGGCAAAGAAUUGUUCCCAGCAUCUGAAACUUCCAUAGCACUAGGACUCUCAAUCUUCAAAACUUGUGGCUGCAGAGAAUUAUCGCCAGCAUCUGAAAUUUCCAUAGAAGGGCUGUCAGUCUUCAAAUCUUCUGGUUGUGGAGAAUCAUUACUCUGUAGGGCACCUGAAUUCUCAAUAGUACCAGCAUCAGCAAUAUCAUCAACAUCUGUCUGCUCAGCUUUAAUCUCGGUCCCUACAAGUAAAUUCGUUUGAGAAGUGCCAGGCACCGCAG